UCAUAUGAACUCUCCCGCCACCCGGGAACAGUAGCUGCCAGCGUUUGUGUUUUCCCGAGUUUGAAUUCUUGCAGGUGACCAAGAUGGAGUUUUCUGGAAGAAAGUGGAAGACGCUGAGGUUGGCAGGUGACCAGAGGAAUGCUUCCUACCCUCAUUGCCUUCAGUUUUACUUGCAGCCACCUUGUGAAAACAUAUCUUUAAUAGAAUUUGAAAACUUGGCUAUUGAUAGAGUUAAAUUGUUAAAAUCAGUUGAAAAUCUUGGAGUGAGCUAUAUGAAAGGAACUGAACAAUACCAGAGUAAGUUGGAGAGUGAGCUUCGGAAGCUCAAGUUUUCCUACAGAGAAAACUUAGAAGAUGAAUAUGAACCACGAAGAAGAGAUCAUAUUUCUCAUUUUAUUUUGCGGCUUGCUUAUUGCCAGUCUGAAGAACUUAGACGCUGGUUCAUUCAACAAGAAAUGGAUCUCCUUCGAUUUAGAUUUAGUAUUUUACCCAAGGAUAAAAUUCAGGAUUUCUUAAAGGAUAGCCAAUUGCAGUUUGAGGCUAUAAGUGAUGAAGAGAAGACUCUUCGAGAUCAGGAGAUUAUUGCCUCAUCACCAAGUUUAAGUGGACUUAAGUUGGGGUUCGAGUCCAUUUAUAAGAUCCCUUUUGCUGAUGCUCUGGAUUUGUUUCGAGGAAGGAAAGUCUAUUUGGAAGAUGGCUUUGCUUACGUACCACUUAAGGACAUUGUGGCAAUCAUCCUGAAUGAAUUUAGAGCCAAACUGUCUAAGGCUUUGGCAGUAAGUAUUUUACUUUAUUUCUGUAUCUGACAUGUUCACACUUUCAGUUGUAUACCCCUGGUAGUUUUAUUCUGUGUUUCUCUAGGAAAUAAGUUAAUUCAGUUUUCAUAAUGAUAUUCAGAUUACUUAUGAUGUUGUACUAUUAAUCCCAAAACUCCUAGGUUUUUAUUUGUUACUAUCCAUAGUUGGUUUUUAAGUUUUUUUUCUUGAUCCUACUAAUACCAAUGCUGAGUGAUUAAUUUUGUGAGUAACUUCUGUGGGUUUCUUCAUGGUCAUGUCUUUUUUCCUUAGAAAUAGACUUCGUAUAUGGCCCUUAACAAUUAGUGUGGUCUGUGGUAGAUAUAACUCCUAGAUUUCUGUUCUGAAUUAGUAUUUGGUAUCAGUAGAAGACAAUAUAGAAGAAAAUCUUAAGUACCAACACUGUGAUAUGCUAGUGCUGCAAUGAGUAGCUCCGUACUGGGUGAAUUUGGAGGUAGCUGUGUUGAACAAAUGACAUGAUCAGUGAUUUUUAAGUAGUUUGUUGGAAGUGUGACUCUUAAGUGGUGAUAUCUUAAAACUAUACACAUUUUUAUAUGUAAAACACGUAUUUUACAGUUGUUGUCUCUUAAUCUGAGUCAGUUUUUAAUACUUUUUUUUGUACCUAAUGCAGAAGAAGACUUCAAAGGUUUGUGACAUGGCUGUUUUAAACUAUACUGAUUAUAGUGUAAACAUAUGCCAAGCUUUCCUUCUGAGCUAAAAAUUGUAGUAUUUUCUGAUAAAAAUAAAUUUUUAUUGACUCUCUGGGGUUACCUAAAUAUGUAUAAUUUAGCUACGUCAGCACUUGGGAAGACUAAACUACUAACUCUGUGUUUAUUAAAUGAAGGAGUUUAUGAGAACACCUAGCAUAACAGGUAUUUAGUAACUGUUAAUAUUCUUUCUCCAUUCCUAAUCCCGUUAUUUCUUUAUCUUCAUUAAAGUUGAUGCUUUUAAAUUUUUUCUUUACUUGUCUGUCACUACCCUAGGUUAUAUUCUAGUUCUAUCUAAGAAUAGUGUCUUUCACCACUGUGGAAGACACUGAUACUUGUCUACUGUUUGGCCAUUGCUCUUUUAUUAUUCUUAGUUUUAUUCACCCAUAUUCUCUCUGUUGACAUUUUAGACCACACUUCUUUGUGUGAAAUAGACAAAUAUUUUCCAGCAUAUUGGAUAGUUUUAGCUGUCAUCUAUUAAAUGCUGGUGGUGGACCCCAGUCUCCAUGACAACCAAAAAUAUCACCAUGCAUUUCAGAAAACUUCUGGCAUGUUAAUGCUACUAUUACUCUGAUCAUAGUCAUUUCCUUCUCACCAAAUUUUUGAUUUAUGCCUGUGACAAUGUAAUUGUGGCUAAAAAGUAUGAGUUCUUUUGGGGCUUCUGAAAAAAGUUUUUCUUGCUAAAAAAAAA
rnacentral:sRNA from 1 species